UUAGCGUUCGUAGUAGAGGUGGACGCAUCUGAGGCUGGGGUGGGUGCCGUGCUAUCACAGCGCUCGGGUGCGCCACCGAAACUCCGCCCCUGCGCUUUCUUCUCAAGGAAGCUCAGUUCGGCGGAGCGUAACUACGAUGUGGGGGACAGGGAGUUGCUAGCGGUAGUCAAAGCCUUGAGGGUGUGGCGACACUGGCUUGAGGGGGCUAAGCACCCCUUUCUCAUCUGGACCGACCACCGAAACCUGGAGUACAUCCGGGCAGCGAGGAGACUGAAUCCACGUCAGGCAAGGCCGGUGGUGGCUGGUCCCCUACAAGAAGAUGAGGUGCCGGAGGUCCCUCCACCCCCCCCCUGGACAUCGGGGGGUCCCCGGCGUACAGCGUAAGGGCCAUUCUGGACUCGAGACGCUGGGCGGGGGGCCUGCAGUACCUCGUGGACUGGGAGGGGUACGGUCCGGAGGAGAGGUGCUGGGUGCCGGCGGAGGACGUCUUGGACCCAUCCAUGUUGAAGGAGUUCCACCGCCACCGUCCGGAUCGCCCUGCGUCUCGUCCUCCGGGUCGGCCUCGAGGCCGGUGUCGGCGCGCUGCUGGAGCCGCGCGUCAGGAGGGGGG
rnacentral:lncRNA from 1 species